rnacentral:rRNA from 1 species
AACGAACGCUGGCGGCAGGCCUAACACAUGCAAGUCGAACGCUGUAGCAAUACAGAGUGGCAGACGGGUGAGUAACGCGUGGGAACAUGCCCUUUGGUUCGGAAUAACUCAGGGAAACUUGAGCUAAUACCGGAUACGCCCUUAGGGGGAAAGAUUUAUUGCCGAAGGAUUGGCCCGCGUCCGAUUAGCUAGUUGGUGAGGUAACGGCUCACCAAGGCGACGAUCGGUAGCUGGUCUGAGAGGAUGAUCAGGCACACUGGGACUGAGACACGGCCCAGACUCCUGCGGGAGGCAGCAGUGGGGAAUAUUGGACAAUGGGCGCAAGCCUGAUCCAGCCAUGCCGCGUGAGUGAUGAAGGCCCUAGGGUUGUAAAGCUCUUUCGCCAGGGACGAUAAUGACGGUACCUGGAUAAGAAGCCCCGGCUAACUUCGUGCCAGCCGCCGCCGCAGUAA